UUUCUUUUCUGUGUGUCUCUUAUUGCCAGCGUAACCAAAGAAGGGAUUCUUCGCAUUGACUUUGGAAAUGAGAAGACCAGCCUCACCUAUACGGAGAAGUUAAAAGAAUAUAAACCUAAGUCUGAGUUCCCAGACCAGAAGUGAAGAAUUGCUCUGGCCCCAGCUCAUGAAGCAGUCUGUGGUGAUUGUCGUGUGGUGAUGCUGUAGUGAAGUUGUGGACCCUGAAACAUAGGCUGCCUAGGAACCUAUCUGCACAUCUCGAGAAGAUACCUCUGAUGUAUUUACAAACAAUGGAUUUACAAUAUUCUCUGAAAAUAAUGUUGUCAGGACAUUUUGCUAUCAGUUCUCCUCAGAAGUACAAAUGUCACUUAAGUCAGCAGGACUUGUAUAUAUGGAUAGGUAUCCCAGUCAAUUUAAAAUUCUAGGCAAUGCAUGUAGUACUAUCCAUUUCAAGAAGAGUAAAAACUGGCAUAAACAACAACAAAAUGUAGUCUCCUUGCAAAAAGCCUUGCUAAAUAGUCUUUCAUAUUAUUAGCUAAAGCUUGGGACACACAUUACUUAGGGACUUCUCAAACCAUUUAAAAGAUUGCACUAAUAGGACCAAAAAGAAAAAAAUCUAUCUGUGAACUUUAAGUUGAAAUAAUUUCUGCAUUUAUUCAGAGGGAUGAAGGAAAAGUCACCAUGUGUAGUAUAAAUAAUAAAUAAUCCUUCUCUCCAAGACAUAUGACUGCUGUUUUCAAGGCUAAUGAAAUACACAAGGGCUUUUUUUUUCUAGUUUUAGUACCCUAGAACACACCAAACACAUUUAGCAGAUGGUAAAUGAAGGGGCACAGCAUUUUAAAAUUUGUAAUCUUGGCGACUAUGUCACAAUUACUCAAUAAUAUAUGUAUUGUAUUAUCUUUGACAUUUCUGUAUAAUGAUACAGCAUAGAUGUAGUUUGAGUUACUUGUUUUUAAUGACACCUAGGUAUAAAAUAUCUAUUAAGGUUAUAUCUAUAUGCUACUGUAUUUUAAUUACUAUUAUUUUCCAAUUAUGACAAAUAUUUACAUAGCAAUAUGCAAUAUAAAUAUUCUAUCUGAAAACAUCUUUAAAUAUAAUCUGUAGAAAAACAAGUCAGAAUAGGACAUUUGUAUGCUUAUUUUACAUGUGAUGAGUUCUUAGGUACUGAAACAAAUUCAACUCUCUCUUUUGUCCUCUAAUGUAGCAGAGAUUUGAAAUUAUAACUUGGAACUUACUCAGAACUGUCAGAAGAGACCAAGGCCUUUUUGACCCUGGUGAACUCUAAGAAAAAAUGUUACUGUUGAAAAUAUAACUGGGGUAGGCAUUCAGAUUUUAUGGAGAGUCGACUAAACUUGCAAUAACUGUCUUAAAAAAUUUACCUUGGAUUUAUGACUGUAGUCCCAUGUCCCAGCAUUAAACUGAGAAACACAAUUUUUCAGCACUACUUUUAACCAAGUAAAAUGUAAAUAAAGAGUCACCUUAUAAAAGAAA